ensembl:snRNA U2 U2 spliceosomal RNA
AUCGCUUCUCGGCCUUUUGGCUAAGAUCAAGUGUAGUAUCUGUUCUUAUCAGUUUAAUAUCUGAUACGUCCCCUACCCGGGGACCAUAUAUUAAAUAGAUUUUUGGAACAGGGAGAUGGAAUAGGGGCUUGCUCCGUCCACUCCACGCAUCGACCUGGUAUUGCAGUAUCUCCAGGAACGGUGCACUCCCU